AGUCGAGCGAAUGGNNUAAGAGCUUGCUCUUAUGAAGUUAGCGGCGGACGGGUGAGUAACACGUGGGUAACCUGCCCAUAAGACUGGGAUAACUCCGGGAAACCGGGGCUAAUACCGGAUAACAUUUUGAACCGCAUGGUUCGAAAUUGAAAGGCGGCUUCGGCUGUCACUUAUGGAUGGACCCGCGUCGCAUUAGCUAGUUGGUGAGGUAACGGCUCACCAAGGCAACGAUGCGUAGCCGACCUGAGAGGGUGAUCGGCCACACUGGGACUGAGACACGGCCCAGACUCCUACGGGAGGCAGCAGUAGGGAAUCUUCCGCAAUGGACGAAAGUCUGACGGAGCAACGCCGCGUGAGUGAUGAAGGCUUUCGGGUCGUAAAACUCUGUUGUUAGGGAAGAACAAGUGCUAGUUGAAUAAGCUGGCACCUUGACGGUACCUAACCAGAAAGCCACGGCUAACUACGUGCCAGCAGCCGCGGUAAUACGUAGGUGGCAAGCGUUAUCCGGAAUUAUUGGGCGUAAAGCGCGCGCAGGUGGUUUCUUAAGUCUGAUGUGAAAGCCCACGGCUCAACCGUGGAGGGUCAUUGGAAACUGGGAGACUUGAGUGCAGAAGANGAAAGUGGAAUUCCAUGUGUAGCGGUGAAAUGCGUAGAGAUAUGGAGGAACACCAGUGGCGAANGCGACUUUCUGGUCUGUAACUGACACUGANGCGCGAAAGCGUGGGGAGCAAACAGGANUAGAUACCCUGGUAGUCCACGCCGUAAACGAUGAGUGCUAAGUGNUAGAGGGUUUCCGCCCUUUAGUGNUGAAGUUAACGCAUUAANCACUCCGCCUGGGGAGUACGGCCGCAAGGNUGA
rnacentral:rRNA from 1 species